ACCAGACUCCUACGGGAGGCAGCAGUGGGGGAUAUUGCACAAUGGGCGCAAGCCUGAUGCAGCGACGCCGCGUGAGCGAAGAAGUAUUUCGGUAUGUAAAGCUCUAUCAGCAGGGAAGAAAAUGACGGUACCUGACUAAGAAGCCCCGGCUAACUACGUGCCAGCAGCCGCGGUAAUACGUAGGGGGCAAGCGUUAUCCGGAUUUACUGGGUGUAAAGGGAGCGUAGACGGCAGUGCAAGUCUGGAGUGAAAGGCGGGGGCUCAACCCCCGGACUGCUCUGGAAACUGUAUAGCUAGAGUGCAGGAGAGGCAGACGGAAUUCCUUGUGUAGCGGUGAAAUGCGUAGAUAUAAGGAGGAACACCAGUGGCGAAGGCGGUCUGCUGGACAGCAACUGACGGUGAGGCGCGAAAGCGUGGGGAGCAAACAGGAUUAGAUACCCUUGUA
rnacentral:rRNA from 1 species